rnacentral:rRNA from 1 species
UGGGGAAUAUUGCACAAUGGGCGCAAGCCUGAUGCAGCAACGCCGCGUGAACGAUGAAGGCCUUCGGAUCGUAAAGUUCUGUUGCAGGGGAAGAUAAUGACGGUACUCUGUGAGGAAGCCCCGGCCAACUACGUGCCAGCAGCCGCGGUAAUACGUAGGGGGCUAGCGUUAUCCGGAUUUACUGGGCGUAAAGGGUGCGUAGGUGGUCUUUCAAGUCGGUGGUUAAAGGCUACGGCUCAACCGUAGUUAGCCUCCGAAACUGGAAGACUUGAGUGCAGGAGAGGAAAGUGGAAUUCCCAGUGUAGCGGUGAAAUGCAUAGAUAUUGGGAGGAACACCAGUAGCGAAGGCGGCUUUCUGGACUGCAACUGACACUGAGGCACGAAAGCGUGGGUAGCAAACAGG